ACAACUGCAUGUGGAGCCCCACACCCAGCUAGAUUGCAUGGAUGCUCCCAGAGCCAUGCAUGAAUGCUCCCAGAGAAAGGCACUAGCCAUAUGCCCUGCAGUUCCCAGCACUGUACCCCAGGAAUAUAUCAUCUUGCCCUGCUCAAGAGGGGCAGUGCAAAUGUAUUAAUUGGUUCACCACUUCAACAAUGGAAAGUGGACCUACACCAACCUUUGCAAACCUCAGCAGAUUUACCCCACACUUUGUACAAACUCACUGGUAAAGAUAAACAAUCAAACAAGUUUGUCUAUAAAAGGUAGAUUUUUAAGUGAGAGGCAGAAAGUCAGUUAGUUACCAAAAGAAAUAAAAUAUAAGCAUGCAGUCUAAACUCUCAACUCCACUAGACCGGGCAGCAACUAGAUUAAGCAGUUUUUCUCACCCCACUGGAUAUUGCAAUCCUUAAUAUACAGGUUUGUUCCUUAAACCUGGGCCAAUCUCCUGUAUUGGAGUCUUGUCAUCUUCUUGGUGUUUUGGUUGCUUGCAGCAUAGGUGGGGGCAGGAGAAGGGCCCAGUAUGUGUGCACUCUGCCUGUUUUAUACCCCCAGCACAAGUCCAGGCAUGUCUGGGGGGCAUUGCUGAGUCUCUCCAAGCAAGGUUGAGUAAUUCCUCUGGUGUGGCCUCAUGCAGGUGAGUCAUUACAUUGUAGCUCCCUUGCUGGAUGAUGGGUUGUUUGACACCCUGCCUGGGCAUUGAUUACUUUCCUUGCCUCUGGGGAGCUACUAUCUAGUUGAUUUCCCCAACUUACAGCAUGUUUUAGUGACCACCAUACAACAAGAUUCUCAUAACUUCAUAUGCAUUAAUGAUACACAUGUAUGGAUAGAGAAAUGUCUUCCAGCAGAUCAUAACCUUUCCCCUGAUACCUUACAAGGAAUGCUUUAUAUGUAAGAUUAUGAUUAUAUGAUCAUGAGAAAUAUGGGGGUUACAGUAUGCUCCCCAAGGUAUAGAAUGUCUCACUGUCUCAGGCUUAAAAUAUGUGAAUUAAAAAGCUUGUCUAAUAUGUAACUAUAAAAUAUUUUUCUCUUCAGACAAGAUUAAACAUUUUUAUCUAGGAAGAUGACAAGCUGGUCAUUGCAGAGCUACAUUUACUGUCUGUUGUUUACCUUGCACAACACGAUUGCUUUGUUACUAUUAGGCCCAUCCCUGGAGAUGGUUACAUGUGGAAGUGCUGUUACCCACAUGUUGGAUCAGACCCAUAGCUGGAAAAAUUAAGUUCCUAUUGAUUUUGAGUAGAUGAGAGAAUGACCAACCUGUGGCAGAGACCAAAAGGAGCAGCCACCCUGAGACCAUCCAGGGAGAUGGAAACCAGACAGUGAUCUGUGGAGUCAGAACAAAUAGAAAUGUGCUUAAGUUAAGUAUUGAGGGAGGACUGCAAGAACUCUUGUCAGCAUGGGGUGGGUCUCUGAGAAAAUGCCUUUGCAUCUAUGUGAGGUACGAUAAGCUUGGGGGAGUCGUUUGUCCCCUCUCAAGGACUUGUCUGGUGCUAUGGAGUCUUCCUGAAGUAUGGUAACUAUGUGGAGAGCAACUUCCCUGUAACCAGAGAUGCUCAGUCCUCAACUCUCUUCCUUCUACAUCACUUGGGUGAGCUUCCCUGGUCACGCCACUCUAGUCCUCCUCCCUACCAACUCUGGCUUGCUUCAGAGGAUGUGAGCGGGGGGACCAAGAGUUGCCCUUGGCCCGUGUGUCCGCUCACAAAGGUGCAUCACCCAGGGCAGGUGGAGGGUCCAAGGCUUAGCACAGCAUCCCAGACUGAUGUGUUCUGGCCUGGGUUCCUGAAUCCUGCUCCCCGAGGGCUGUGCUGGCUCCGUAGCUGGACCCCGCACCAGGGAGGCUCUUAUGGGCGGUGAGCAGUCAAAGGGCUGUAGGGAGCUGAAGAGCAGCCACAGCCCUGCAGUCCCAAGGAGGACAAGAUGGGGAAGCUCUGCGGCUGCCUGCACUCUGACAUCAGCUAGCGCGGCAGCCGCCUCACCCUGCCCGACUCUGGCUUCUGACCUCUGACAUGGCCAUGGGCCAGGGCCUUGGAGGAGAGGAGGCGGGGCUGGCACUUCACUGAGGAGGAGCAGGGGGUGGAGCCACAGGAGGGGCAGGGCCUCAUGGCAAAGAAGAUUGCAGCUGUCACCAGAAGAGGCUGGCGCUGCCCACGGCUGGCCACGGGGUGUUACUGUUUGUUUCUGAGAAACACUCUGCGCAUUACUUUGAGUUGCCACUGGGUGUCACCACUGCUCCAUGGAAGAGAGAGUCCAUGCAUUACCCCUGACUAGCCAGCGGUGUCACUGCUGCUCCUGAAUAAACAGUUUGUGCAUUACUCUGUUUGUCCACUGGGUGUCACUGCUGCUCCAGGGCAGAUGCAUUAUCCUGACUGCCCACCCACCGGGUGUCACUGCUGCUCUGGGAACAUCAUCCGUGCAUUACACUGACUGGCUUCUAAGAUAAAUGUGUGGUAAAGGCUGAGUACAGACUCCUGCUCCCUCUAGCUGCAGCUUAGCUUCUAAUAAAAGGUUUCCUGCUCAUUCUGGGUGCAGGGGGAGAAUUUCACCAUCUUGGGAGUUUCUGAUCUCCCAGGGCAGGGAGAAGCAUGUCCUCCUGAGCAGAGGCCUGGAACCAGGAAGGUGACUACAGGUGUUCUCUGUUCUUCCUUCAUUACUUCUCUCUAAGGUAUUGGCCAACGUGCUCUCUCUCCUUGUCUGUUGGUCUACAGCCUCCCAACAUAGACAUGUUCACCUGCAUGUGUCCAGUAGUGAUUGAGACAUAGACGUCUAUAGCUCUCUGUGCAGAUCUAUUCAGUGUGUGUGUGUGUGGGGGGGAAACAAGGACAUAAAGCUGCUGCUGCUUCUCACAUGUGCUUCUAGUGCAGUGUGUCUUGAUGCAGCAGGGGAAUUGUAGUCUCUUACAUUUGUUUGCAGAAUGUGCUGCCCUAUGUGCUAUUUCGUGCAGCUGGGGGUGUGAUUAAAAAUACAUAAAUACAUCAUAUUGACAAGUUUGCAAAGACCCACUUGGGCAUUGAAAAUGUAUUCCCCAGAAUGCCUCCCUUCCCGUUUCUUCCAGUAUCCCACCCCUACUGUGUUAUGCUUAUAAGAAGCACACAGGAUCUUUUUCAGGGGAAAAGGCAAUACGCUGCGUUUAUUGGAGAUACAACACUUAGCAUAUGCAUUCAAUCACACUCACACUGUCCCACCAGUAGAUGUAGUUACCAGUACAGAGUCCGGAGCAACCUAGUGGCCAGCUAGGUUGAUCACAGGUAGGGAGGAGCCAGGUUCUGUCGGUUCUGACACGAUGCUCCGGGGAAGUCUUGGCAAGACAAACCCAAAAUUUCAUGGCAAAGCACCCUGUUUAUAUAGUGAUCUUAACUUCAUUGGGACCAAUGAGUUUUGUAUAGUCAAUUGCCGUUUGACGAGCACUUGUUUUCUAAAAUUAUUCUUAUUUUAUUCCUUCAUCAGUCUCUCGGGGACUUACCCCAUGCUGGUUUUGAUCACAGCUAUCUUGUCCCAGUUGAUAGGUGCUUGCCUUAUUUUUUCAAUUUGUCAAUCUGCGCCCCUUUGACAUCUCAAUAGGGGCAUGUUGUAAUCUCCUGGCGCCUUUGUCUGUCCUCCCUAGAACAUUUGGUCUGGUGAUUGCCUUCACACUUAUCUUCUAACACACACACUCCUCAUUCAUGCACAAAACAGGAUUGAUUUACACACAAUAUUUGAACAGGAACAUCAAAUUGCAAUGCAAGAGAAAACAAUUAUUUCAUUCUUUUACUUUUCAAAAUGCUAAUUUUAUACCUACAACAAAGCGGUGACCCUAAAGGUCUAUUUCUGCCUUGAAAUCUGCUUCAGACACAAGAUUCUGGCUGGCAGGAGGAGGAGGAUGUAAUCCUGAACCUUCUACAGAUGGGGAAACAAGCACGUUUGAGGCUGAACCAUCACACCACGGAACAAUACAGACAAUUUUAACUACAUAUAACUGAGUUCUUUAGUAUCUCAGUCAUGCUUAUCACACUGGCAGCCUACUCUAAGGAGUAAGGAUGUAUUCUGUUAGGUUGGUAGUGUUUUUUUAAAUAAAAAUGUGUGGUGGUGGA